UUGAACGCUGGCGGCAGGCCUAACACAUGCAAGUCGAGCGGUAGCACAGAGAGCUUGCUCUCGGGUGACGAGCGGCGGACGGGUGAGUAAUGUCUGGGAAACUGCCUGAUGGAGGGGGAUAACUACUGGAAACGGUAGCUAAUACCGCAUAAUGUCGCAAGACCAAAGUGGGGGACCUUCGGGCCUCAUGCCAUCAGAUGUGCCCAGAUGGGAUUAGCUAGUAGGUGGGGUAACGGCUCACCUAGGCGACGAUCCCUAGCUGGUCUGAGAGGAUGACCAGCCACACUGGAACUGAGACACGGUCCAGACUCCUACGGGAGGCAGCAGUGGGGAAUAUUGCACAAUGGGCGCAAGCCUGAUGCAGCCAUGCCGCGUGUGUGAAGAAGGCCUUCGGGUUGUAAAGCACUUUCAGCGGGGAGGAAGGCGAUAAGGUUAAUAACCUUGUCGAUUGACGUUACCCGCAGAAGAAGCACCGGCUAACUCCGUGCCAGCAGCCGCGGUAAUACGGAGGGUGCAAGCGUUAAUCGGAAUUGCUGGGCGUAAAGCGCACGCAGGCGGUCUGUCAAGUCGGAUGUGAAAUCCCCGGGCUCAACCUGGGAACUGCAUUCGAAACUGGCAGGCUAGAGUCUUGUAGAGGGGGGUAGAAUUCCAGGUGUAGCGGUGAAAUGCGUAGAGAUCUGGAGGAAUACCGGUGGCGAAGGCGGCCCCCUGGACAAAGACUGACGCUCAGGUGCGAAAGCGUGGGGAGCAAACAGGAUUAGAUACCCUGGUAGUCCACGCCGUAAACGAUGUCGAUUUGGAGGUUGUGCCCUUGAGGCGUGGCUUCCGGAGCUAACGCGUUAAAUCGACCGCCUGGGGAGUACGGCCGCAAGGUUAAAACUCAAAUGAAUUGACGGGGGCCCGCACAAGCGGUGGAGCAUGUGGUUUAAUUCGAUGCAACGCGAAGAACCUUACCUGGUCUUGACAUCCACAGAACUUAGCAGAGAUGCUUUGGUGCCUUCGGGAACUGUGAGACAGGUGCUGCAUGGCUGUCGUCAGCUCGUGUUGUGAAAUGUUGGGUUAAGUCCCGCAACGAGCGCAACCCUUAUCCUUUGUUGCCAGCGGUUAGGCCGGGAACUCAAAGGAGACUGCCAGUGAUAAACUGGAGGAAGGUGGGGAUGACGUCAAGUCAUCAUGGCCCUUACGACCAGGGCUACACACGUGCUACAAUGGCAUAUACAAAGAGAAGCGACCUCGCGAGAGCAAGCGGACCUCAUAAAGUAUGUCGUAGUCCGGAUUGGAGUCUGCAACUCGACUCCAUGAAGUCGGAAUCGCUAGUAAUCGUAGAUCAGAAUGCUACGGUGAAUACGUUCCCGGGCCUUGUACACACCGCCCGUCACACCAUGGGAGUGGGUUGCAAAAGAAGUAGGUAGCUUAACCUUCGGGAGGGCGCUUACCACUUUGUGAUUCAUGACUGGGGUG
rnacentral:rRNA from 1 species